UAGGGAAUCUUCGGCAAUGGACGAAAGUCUGACCGAGCAACGCCGCGUGAGUGAAGAAGGUUUUCGGAUCGUAAAACUCUGUUGUUAGAGAAGAACAAGGACGUUAGUAACUGAACGUCCCCUGACGGUAUCUAACCAGAAAGCCACGGCUAACUACGUGCCAGCAGACGCGGUAAUACGUAGGUGGCAAGCGUUGUCCGGAUUUAUUGGGCGUAAAGCGAGCGCAGGCGGUUUCUUAAGUCUGAUGUGAAAGCCCCCGGCUCAACCGGGGAGGGUCAUUGGAAACUGGGAGACUUGAGUGCAGAAGAGGAGAGUGGAAUUCCAUGUGUAGCGGUGAAAUGCGUAGAUAUAUGGAGGAACACCAGUGGCGAAGGCGGCUCUCUGGUCUGUAACUGACGCUGAGGCUCGAAAGCGUGGGGAGCAAACAGG
rnacentral:rRNA from 1 species